AUGAGAUAUGCCGAGUUGGGUAAUAAUGGAUGUAGGUGCAUUGUAUUUGUACCCUUGUGUGCGAAGAUUAUCCAUCCACCUCAUCCAUGUUUAAUUUUUUAUUUAUAUAAACCUAAUUUGACCAUCCGAGCGAGUAGUUACAAACUCUGGCCUACCUUGUUACUAACGUCUUCAAUUCAGGUUCAAUUACUAGCUUUUUUGCAUAAUUGUAUUUUAGGGUCCACCUCCCUCAUAGGUUGUAGUGGGUGCAUUACAGCAAAACAAAACAUGGUGGGAAUCCAAUAG